UUUUUGCGUUAGGGAAUGAAACGGCAUCCUUUUUUUGCGCUAGCCAUUUUGCAAUUAGCAAAAAAAGAUAUAGUGUAAAGCCCGCCCGAAC
rnacentral:sRNA from 1 species